UCCUACGGGGGGCAGCAGUGAGGAAUAUUGGUCAAUGGUCGGGAGACUGAACCAGCCAAGCCGCGUGAGGGAUGAAGGUACAGAGUAUCGUAAACCUCUUUUGUCAGGGAACAAAGGCGGGGACGUGUCCCCGGAUGAGUGUACCUGAGGAAAAAGCAUCGGCUAACUCCGUGCCAGCAGCCGCGGUAAUACGGAGGAUGCGAGCGUUAUCCGGAUUUAUUGGGUUUAAAGGGUGCGCAGGCGGUCUGUUAAGUCAGCGGUCAAAGCCCGGGGCUCAACCCCGGCCCGCCGUUGAAACUGGCAGG
rnacentral:rRNA from 1 species